rnacentral:rRNA from 1 species
UACGUAGGGUGCGAGCGUUGUCCGGAUUUAUUGGGCGUAAAGAGCUCGUAGGCGGUUUGGCAAGUCGGGUGUGAAAACUCCGGGCUCAACUCGGAGACGCCACUCGAUACUGCUAUGACUCGAGUCCGGUAGGGGAGUGCGGAAUUCCUGGUGUAGCGGUGAAAUGCGCAGAUAUCAGGAGGAACACCGGUGGCGAAGGCGGCACUCUGGGCCGGUACUGACGCUGAGGAGCGAAAGCGUGGGGAGCGAACAGG